rnacentral:hammerhead_ribozyme from 1 species
ACUCAGCUAACGAGUCCCAAAUAAGACGAAACGUGCAUCCUGGAU